rnacentral:lncRNA from 1 species
CGAGCACUAACCGCGUGCGAAAAUGAAGGAAAAUAAAUGGAUUAGGGAAAAAUCAAAAAGAAGAAAAAGAAGAGAAAGAUGGUAAAACUCAGAGAAUUUUGGCAAGAGGAGAGGGAAAAGAAUAGACGGUAGAAUGUUUUUGGAAAAGAGAGUCAAAAUUCAGUUAUGGGAAAAAAAUAAAAUAAAAUCCCGAUAAGCCCCCAAAUCCCUUAAUCUUCUCCCUUAAUUCUCACUACACAUCCGCUACUCAAAAUCCCCCUAUUACACAACUGUAUCCUGAAAUCUGAACAAAAAAAAUAACACCUUUGCCUGCAUAGGGAUUCGAACACAAGACCUCCACCAUAAUAACACACCAUUUAACCAC